GCUGGCUGCGUGCUUAACACAUGCAAGUCGAACGCUGAAGCCCGAAGCUUGCUUCGGGUGGAUGAGUGGCGAACGGGUGAGUAACACGUGAGUAACCUGCCCCUGAUUUCGGGAUAAGCCUGGGAAACUGGGUCUAAUACCGGAUACGACCACCNNACGCAUGNNGGNUGGUGGAAAGUUUUUCGAUCGGGGAUGGGCUCGCGGCCUAUCAGCUUGUUGGUGGGGUAAUGGCCUACCAAGGCGACGACGGGUAGCCGGCCUGAGAGGGCGACCGGCCACACUGGGACUGAGACACGGCCCAGACUCCUACGGGAGGCAGCAGUGGGGAAUAUUGCACAAUGGGGGAAACCCUGAUGCAGCGACGCAGCGUGCGGGAUGACGGNCUUCGGGUUGUAAANCGCUUUCAGCAGGGAAGAAGCCGUAAGGUG
rnacentral:rRNA from 1 species